ACGAACGCUGGCGGCGUGCUUAACACAUGCAAGUCGAACGAGAGGACAAGAGAAGCUUGCUCUUUUGGAAUCGAGUGGCAAACGGGUGAGUAACACGUAAACAACCUGCCUUCAGGAUGGGGACAACAGACGGAAACGACUGCUAAUACCGAAUAAGUUCCAAGAGCCGCAUGGCCCAUGGAAGAAAAGGUGGCCUCUACCUGUAAGCUAUCGCCUGAAGAGGGGUUUGCGUCUGAUUAGCUGGUUGGAGGGGUAACGGCCCACCAAGGCGACGAUCAGUAGCCGGUCUGAGAGGAUGAACGGCCACACUGGAACUGAGACACGGUCCAGACUCCUACGGGAGGCAGCAGUGGGGAAUCUUCCGCAAUGGGCGAAAGCCUGACGGAGCAACGCCGCGUGAGUGAUGACGGCCUUCGGGUUGUAAAACUCUGUGAUCCGGGACGAAAAGGCAGAGUGCGAAGAACAAACUGCAUUGACGGUACCGGAAAAGCAAGCCACGGCUAACUACGUG
rnacentral:rRNA from 1 species